rnacentral:lncRNA from 1 species
CAAAAUGAACGAUGUUUAUUUUUUCUCUCUAAGUGACGAUAACGUUUUGGUUCAUAGUAAAAACUUUCAUAACUUUCUUUUUGAUAGCAAAUUGAUUCAUGAUGACCAUUUUUGUUACAAAAUGAACAUCUCAACUUAAGUUCUCUAUUUGCUGGCAAAAGAACAUUUUCAAAAAUUUUGUUUUUAACUUCAUUAAAACCUAAACCAUUUUUGUUAAGAGCUUGAGAUUGUGAUCCCAUAAUGUUUUGAAAAGUUUCAGUUGAUUUUAUGAACCCAAUGAGAUCAUUUCUUAGUUCCAUUAUUUCAUUUUUUAACACAACAUUUUCAUCUAUUUUCUUAGAUAAAUCACUAGAGCAAACAUGUUUUUCUUUUGACUCAAUUAAGUCUUUGUUAAUCUUUUCAAAAUUA